CAGGUUUUUUUUUUCAUCAUACUAAGCAUUUGUCAGGCUGCUUCUUUAUUGGAACACUAUGAGGAGUGAUUCCCCAGAAGUCCCAGACUAAACUGGAAUUAUCAGGAACUCAUCGACAUAAAGACUGGGAUUUGGGUCAUAUUUUAGAAAAGUAAAAUUCCUGCAUGUUAUUCUACAGUGCUGAAUGAAUAUCCAUGAAUACUAAAUUGUUUUUCUGUAGGAAAUAUGUAAAAGCAUGCAAGUGAUCAUCAGCUGAUCUCUGCAUCUCUGCUCCAAGCUGAAUUGUGCAGUUUAGGAAACAACAGGGAAAAGAAAUUUAUUUUCAACUAGAACUUGAUUCUGAAAUAAAUAGGAGGCUACUUCUUUGCACAUUUUGCUCACGUCUGUGAGCUAAAAAGAAGAGGAAAAACUUAACAUUCAU